AGCGAACGCUGGCGGCAGGCCUAACACAUGCAAGUCGAACGAACUCUUCGGAGUUAGUGGCGGACGGGUGAGUAACACGUGGGAACGUGCCUUUAGGUUCGGAAUAACUCAGGGAAACUUGUGCUAAUACCGAAUGUGCCCUUCGGGGGAAAGAUUUAUCGCCUUUAGAGCGGCCCGCGUCUGAUUAGCUAAUUGGUGAGGUAGCGGCUCACCAAGGCGACGAUCAGUAGCUGGUCUGAGAGGAUGGCCAGCCACACUGGGACUGAGACACGGCCCAGACUCCUACGGGAGGCAGCAGUGGGGAAUCUUGCGCAAUGGGCGAAAGCCUGACGCAGCCAUGCCGCGUGAAUGAUGAAGGUCUUAGGAUUGUAAAAUUCUUUCACCGGGGACGAUAAUGACGGUACCCGGAGAAGAAGCCCCGGCUAACUUCGUGCCAGCCGCCGCAGUAA
rnacentral:rRNA from 1 species